UGCCUACGGGAGGCAGCAGUGAGGAAUAUUGGUCAAUGGGCUUACGCCUGAACCAGCCAAGUCGCGUGAGGGAAGACUGCCCUAUGGGUUGUAAACCUCUUUUGUCAGGGAGCAAUUGGCGCUACGUGUAGCGUUAUCGAGAGUACCUGAAGAAAAAGCAUCGGCUAACUCCGUGCCAGCAGCCGCGGUAAUACGGAGGAUGCGAGCGUUAUCCGGAUUUAUUGGGUUUAAAGGGUGCGUAGGCGGAAUGCCAAGUCAGCGGUAAAAUCGCGGGGCUCAACCCCGCCGAGCCGUCGGAACUGGGG
rnacentral:rRNA from 1 species